rnacentral:rRNA from 1 species
GACGAACGCUGGCGGCGUGCCUAAUACAUGCAAGUCGAGCGCAGGAAACCAGAUGACCCCUUCGGGGUGAUUCUGGCGGAAUGAGCGGCGGACGAGUGAGUAACACGUGGGCAACCUGCCUGUAAGACUGGGAUAACUUCGGGAAACCGGAGCUAAUACCGGAUAGUAUUUCCUUUCUCCUGAUUGGAAAUGGAAAGACGGUUUCGGCUGUCACUUACAGAUGGGCCCGCGGUGCAUUAGCUAGUUGGUGGGGUAAUGGCCCACCAAGGCGACGAUGCAAAGCCGACCUGAGAGGGUGAUCGGCCACACUGGGACUGAGACACGGCCCAGACUCCUACGGGAGGCAGCAGUAGGGAAUCUUCCGCAAUGGACGAAAGUCUGACGGAGCAACGCCGCGUGAGCGAUGAAGGCCUUCGGGUCGUAAAGCUCUGUUGUUAGGGAAGAACAAGUACGAGAGUAACUGCUCGUACCUUGACGGUACCUAACCAGAAAGCCCCGGCUAACUACGUGCCAGCAGCCGCGGUAAAAC